UUUACUUAUCAUUGUAUUUUCAUUUUAAUCACUUGUCAUUGUAUUUGUGAUUCCUGGGUGUUUAAAAUGGUUUUAACUCUUAAUUAAGCUUUCCUUGUUUUUUGUGCAGAUUACAGCAUGCUUGUGUAUUUUUAACAUGUUGUUCUAUAUCAUCAUCAUUUUUAUUUAUAUUGUGCUUUUCCGAUACUCUAGGACAGUAUAUAAGAAAUAGAGACCACACUAAUAGCGCAGAAAAUCAAGCAGUACUGUAUUAUUUAUUCAGAAUUGAUCACCCUCUUCUAGGUUAGCUUCAGUGAGCUAAUCAGCUUUCCAGGACAAUUUGUAAGGCGAAACCUUUGUUGUUGACGUUUAAACAUAACAUACAAAAAAAUGUAAUAGUUGCUUUGUCUGGCUAUAAAAUCACUUUAAUCAUCCUGUAACAGAUGCAAGUGUCUCAUUUCAUGAAACAACCAAUCAAAACACCCAUCCUCCAAUCAAGUGACUCCAGAGCUGUCAGGAGGAAGACCAUCAAGCUACACCAAACGGACAUCUUCUGA
ensembl:lncRNA